UGGUAGUGUAACGGACUACCAAGACUAUGACGGGUGACGGGAAAUCAGUGUUUGAUUCCGGAGAGGGAGCCUGAGAGAUGGCUCCCACGUCCAAGGAUGGCAGCAGGCGCGAAAAUUGUCCACUCUUUGUUGAGGAGACAGUUAUGAGGCGUGAUUGUAAGAGCGAAGAGUAAACAUCUUUGUGUAAUGCAACUAGAGGGCAAGUUUUGGUGCCAGCAGCCGCGGUAACUCCAACUCUAGAAGUGCCUAUUGUGGAUGCUGCAGUUAAAAAGUCCGUAGUCGUUGAUGCAAUUAAAAGGUGUAGAUCAAGUGCACCAAGUUUGUUAGUUGUGGCGGAGCGGACAGGGAGCAUGGUAUAGGUUGGCGAAGAAUGAAAUCUCAAGACCCAACCUGGACCAACUGAGGCGAAAGCGGUGCUCUUGUACGCGUCUGUGGAUCAAGGACGAAGGCUAGAGGAUCGAAAGUGAUUAGACACCGCUGUAGUUCUAGCAGUAAACUAUGCCGACAUUCUCUGUUGUUGAGACGGGGAGGGGAGAAAUCUUAGUUUUCGGGCUCUGGGGAUAGUACGCUUGCAAGAGUGAAACUUAAAGCGAAAUUGACGGAAGAUCACCACAAGGAGUGGAUUGUACUGCUUAAUUUGACUCAACACGGGAAAACUUACCAGGGCCAAGUCUCUCGUAGAUUGGCGACAUGAGAGGGGCAAGAGUGGUGCAUGGCCGUUGGAAAUUGAUGGGAUGACCUUUAGCUUAAGUGCUGUAACCAGUGAGAUCUUCUAGACAGGUGUCUUACUGACACAGGAAGGAGAAGGCUAUAACAGGUCCGUGAUGCCCUCAGAUGCCCUGGGCCGCAAGUGCAAUACAAUAUCCGUUUGAGCGACAUAAAUAUGCUUACGGAUGAGUAGGAUUAGCUCUUGUAAAUGAGCUAUGAAUGAGGAAUUCCUAGUAACUGUGUCUCAUCAAGGCACAGUGAAUGCGUCCCUGUUCUUUGUACA
rnacentral:rRNA from 1 species